CCCGGCAUCCCAUCCACUCUACCAGUAAUGGAAAUGGCUCCAAAUGUUGUAGAAGGCAACGUGUCUGUGGUGGACCAGGUAGAUCCAAAUGCUGGCUUAGUGAACUUGUUGACAACUCCAAUCCCAACAACAACUCCAAUCCCACCAACAACUCCAG